rnacentral:rRNA from 1 species
GUAGUCUCUAGAGAGUUUUCGUAGUCCUGGGCUCAGGAUGAACGCUGGCGGCGUGCUUAACACAUGCAAGUCGAACGGACUCAUAUUGAAACCUAGUGAUUUAUGAGUAGUGGCGGACGGGUGAGUAACGCGUGGAAAACCUGCCGUAUACUGGGGGAUAACACUUAGAAAUAGGUGCUAAUACCGCAUAAGCGCACAGCUUCGCAUGAAGUGGUGUGAAAAACUCUGGUGGUAUACGAUGGUUCCGCGUCUGAUUAGCUUGUUGUGGGGUAAUGGCUCACCAAGGCGACGAUCAGUAGCCGGCCUGAGAGGGUGAACGGCCACAUUGGGACUGACGACACGGCCCAAACUCCUACGGGAGGCAGCAGUGGGGAAUAUUGCACAAUGGGGGAAACCCUGAUGCAGCGACGCCGCGUGAGUGAAGAAGUAUUUCGGUAUGUAAAGCUCUAUCAGCAGGGAAGAAACUGACGGUACCUGAUUAAGAAGCCCCGGCUAACUACGUG